CCACUCACGAAGUUGUUGUGAUAUGUCACGUGGUAUGCAUCAUAUCACAGCCAGCUUUGAUGAGCGGGA
rnacentral:pre_miRNA from 1 species